ensembl:lncRNA
GAGAACAACGAUGGCUUCGUUUUGAGGGUAAAAUGAUGGCUGUAGAGCAAACACUGUGGACACAGCAGCAGUUGAAAGAGAAGUGUUUAAGAUGAAUAUUGGCAGAGUGAGAGAGAGCUCGUUAGGCAGGCAGGCAGGUGUGAGCCUGGUUGCUAUAGUGACUGCACCCACUGGCUCCAUACACACGCGCACAGACAUGCACCUCACUUUUGCUGCUUAAAAUGAACAGAAAAGUCAGGUCGAAACAAAUCGCUCCCAAAUGAAAAGUACAGGUCCUAUUGAC